rnacentral:rRNA from 1 species
UACGAAGGGGGCUAGCGUUGCUCGGAAUGACUGGGCGUAAAGGGCGCGUAGGCGGAUGGCACAGUCAGAUGUGAAAUUCCCGGGCUUAACCUGGGGGCUGCAUUUGAUACGUGUGAUCUAGAGUGAGGAAGAGGGUCGUGGAAUUUCCAGUGUAGAGGUGAAAUUCGUAGAUAUUGGGAAGAACACCGGUGGCGAAGGCGGCGACCUGGUCCUUGACUGACGCUGAGGCGCGAAAGCGUGGGGAGCAAACAGG